CCCGGAGCUGCCGCGUUGGCUGUUUUUUGAGAACGGACCAUGGAUAAGGAGUUUGAGGUCUGAGCAUGGGAGGCCCAAGUGGUCAGCCAUUUAGAGAUGGUGUCAGCCCUCAAGAGACACACUGCCACGGAUUCCCUGCUGCAGAUGGUCUCCACCACGGGUUCUCACCACCGCACAGUGUCAUUGUUGAAGGCCCUGCCUACACAACUUCUUGGAUACAGGCGGAUGCCAAAACCAGGUCCUGACCCGCGGCCAGAGGCCCUAUGCCGAGCUCCGAAAGUAUGAUCCUGCUUGUUUGUUUUCUCAUUGUCUGUUAUUUCCCUGGGCAGAAGACGACAGGCACACCGAAUCAGGAGAGAAGAAAAGCCUGAGGUAGGUCCUCAGGAGGGCACCUCCCGGGAGGACACCUGUGACGCCUGCAGGAAACUUCAGGGCCUCAGGACGGUGCCCAGCCAGGGGAGAGUAAUUACAUUUGGGAAGAACCUGCUGACUGCCAGGCACUUUGGCACAUGUGAUCCUGUUUACUCCAGACAACACUGAGAGAGAAACAGUGUGAGUUGCAUUUAUUUUUAUUGAAAUACAGUUGAUAAGCAAUAGUAUAUUGGUUUCAGAUAAACAACAUAGUGAUUCGAUGAUUAUUUACUUUGCUAAAUGCAUACCAUGAUAACUGUAGUUGCUGUCUGUCACCAUACAAAGAUAUCACAAUAUUAUUCACUAUAUUCCCAUUUUACAGAGGAGGGCAAUGAGGCUCAGUGUGCUGAGGGGCCCAGGGCUCCACAGCUCUGAGAUGCUUGAGUGCUCCCUCCUGCCUGGAGGGGCACCGCUUCCCCAGCCCUCCCCCACCCCCAACAGUUCACUGCAAGUGAAGUCAAGAAAGACAUGAAAGAAACAGGCUGAGCAGGAAUCACAAAAAGGCAGCCUAAAGGGUUGUGUGAGCUAAGGAAGGGCUGUUACCUUGGUAGAAGAUGGGGAAGGAAUGGUUCAUUCUAGCCCCUAGAACUCAGCCUAACACAUAGUAGGUUCUAUAUAUACAUUAUAGCAGCUAAUGCACACACACACAUGUGUAUGUAUAUGUGUGUGUGUAUAUAUGUAUAUGUAUAUGUGUGUAUAUAUAUAUAUAUAUAUGUUGCAAAUGAUAUAAUGGAUACUUGCCCUGAACACUGCUUAAGCACCUGCUCUGUAACAAGACCUGGGGCAGACCAGUGGAGCACAAGGACAAAUUCCAACACAAAAAAUCUCUAAGUUUACCAUGGAGAAGACUCAUUUCCCAAUGACUCUCAUGCUAGAAGAGAAACAUGAUAUCACAAGCUGGAAAAAGGGUGAGAGAAAAGUACAAGGGUGGAAAAUGCUAACUUCCACCUGGAGAAGCUCGGGAAGGCUUCCUGGAGGAGGGAGCAUUUUAGCUGGGCCUUGGAACAUACAUAACAAUAACAACAACCAUAAUCUGUUAACAACUGUUGACCACUUGCUAUGUGGCAGGCAUUGCAUAAGCCCUUCUCAUAUACAGCACAUCAUGUAAUUGUUUUAGUAAAUCUACAAGGCAGGCACUGUUGUUAUUCCCAUUAUACAGGUGAGGACACUGAGAUACGGUUAUAACAAACCAGUAGUGACUGAAGCAGGGUUAGAAUCCCAGGUGUAUCUGGGACUUGUCUACCUAGUCAGAGGUGAGGCUGAGAAGGAGAAACAGGUAUGCCCAACCCAGCGGGACGACUCCUGGAGUGUACUUCCCACAUAGGGGCAGGAAGUGGGCACAUGCAGGGAGGAGAAGGAAGUAAAGCCUAUUCCUGUUUGAGGGGCAGUCUCUGUGCCCAGUAGUAAACAGCCACAUAGUGAACAGCAAACUAACAAAUCAGAUAAAACACUUAUUGCUUGCAGAAUAAUAAAGUUGGAAAGUUGGGAUUGUUUGCUCCAAAGUUCCCCAAGUGUGAGCAUGUUAAGAAGGGAAAUGGACAAAGGGCCCAUUUGCCCACCAAUAAUAGCUACCACUUACUAUAGGCAAUGCAUGUACUAAGCUUUUGCAAGUAUUAUCUCAUUUUAGUUUUCAUAAAACACUCUAAGAACUAUAGAUGAUACCCAUUGAUUGUGAAUCAUGUGCCAGGCAUUGUUCUAGGUGCUUCUAUAGGUUUAAACACAUUGGAUCCUCAAAACAACUCUAUACAAUAGGUAUUAUUAUUAUCCCCAUUUUACAGAAGAGGAAACUGAGGCAUAAGGCAAUUAAGUAUUUAUCCCAAGGUAAUACAGAUGAUAAAUGGAAGAACCAGGAUUUGAACUCAGGCAGUCUGGCUCCAGAACUCACGCCAUUCGCCACUAUCUAUUCUGCCCUGUAAAGUAGGCAUUAUUAUCCACAUCAAACAAAGAAGGAGGUCGAGGCCCAGCAGGAUUAUAUGAAAAGUGUGAACCCAACAUCCACAUUCUUAACCAAUGCUAAUAGUGUCCCUCAUCCUGCCACUGACAUACAGUAUGCUGUGCAUAUGUCACUUCUCUCCAUGCCUCUGUUUUGUCACCUGAAAAAGGAGAGGAAAAAUCUUGACAUUUUCCAAGAGCCUGGUCAGUUCAGACCUCCCAGGACAGGGUGGGAAGUUUUAACAUCCCAGGGUAUCACCUGAGCAGGAAACCAGCUACUUCCUGGAAGACAAACCACAGCCUAACCUUUAACAGCUGCUCAUUCGCAUGAAGAAAAUUCAGGGAUCCUGUCAGCACUCCUCAACCCCAAACCCCCCACGGUGGACAGUCUCACAGCCGCCAACAGUUUCUCCCAUCUCUGUACAUACGUUCUGCUCCUCGGCAAGACAUGGAGUCCACUUCCCCUCAGCUUAAAUCUGGUCUGGCCUUGGGAUUAACUUUGCUCAAACGACUGUGAGGGAGAUGAUGUCCUAGGACUCCUGAGCCUGCUCUUGGGAGUGUGCAGAGCUCCAUCUCCUGCUCCUUAGGCGUCCACUAUUAGGCUGCAGAGAAGCUCAGGCUGGACUGCAAUGAUGAGAAGCCACACGGGAGGAUGAGACGCCACCUGGGAUGUUCCAAUCCCGGGCGAGCUCCCAGCUGAACGCAGCUCCUUGGCUAACCUUGGCUUCACCGCACAGAGCAGAAAACUGCCCACUCUUCAGAGACAUAAUAAACCAUUGUUGUUUUAAACCACUAUGCUUUGGCGUAGUUUG